AAAAGCUAUUAAGGGCACACGGAGGAUGCCUAGGUAACAAAAGCCGAUGAAGGACGUGAUAAGCUGCGAAAAGCUUGGUGGAGGUGCACAUAACCUUUGAUACCAAGAUCUCCGAAUGGGAAAACCUAUAUGUGUAGAUCACAUAUGCGAAAGAGGUAAGUCCGUGAACUGAAACAUCUAAGUAACGGGAGGAAAAGAAAGUAAAAACGAUUCUCUAAGUAGCGGCGAGCGAACGGAGAAUAGCCUAAACCAUAUACAUGUAAGUUGGCGACGUUGUGUAUAUGGGGUAGAGGGACUUUAAUAGACUAAUAGCCAUAAAGUCAUUUUACUAGUAGAGUAAGUGGAACACAGCUGGGAAGCUGGACCAAAGAAGGUGAUAGUCCUGUAGAACAUAAAACUAUUAGUAAAACUUAAAGCACCCGAGUAGCAUCAAGCACGAGGAAUUUGGUGUGAAUCUGCGUGGACCAUAUCACGUAAGGCUAAAUACUUUUGUUGACCGAUAGAGAAGAGUACCGUGAGGGAAAGGUGAAAAGAACCCUGAGUAAGGGAGUGAAAUAGAAUUUGAAACCGUGUGCUUACAAACGGUAGGAGCUCGCAAGAGUGACUGCGUGGAUUUUGGUUAAUCAUCCUGCGAGUUAUGAUAUAUGGCAAGGUUAAAAAGAAUGGAGCCGAAGGGAAACCGAGUCUUAAUAGGGCGACAAGUCGUAUGUCAUAGACGCGAAACCUAGUGAUCUAGGCCUGUCCAGGCUGAAGCUGAGGUAAGACUCAGUGGAGGGCCGAACUCACCGCCGUUGAAAAGUUGGGAGAUGAGAUAGGUCUAGGGGUGAAAAGCCAAUCGAACUAGGAGAUAGCUCGUUCUCUCCGAAAUGCAUUUAGGUGCAGCCUUAAUUUUAAGAUAUGUGGGGGUAGAGCACUGUAUGAUCUAGGGGGCGUAUUGCUUACCGAAAUCAAGCAAACUACGAAUACCAUAUAUUAAUGAUUAGGAGUGAGUCUAUGGAUGAUAAGGUCCGUGGACAAAAGGGGAACAGCCCAGACCACCAGCUAAGGUCCCUAAUUAUGUCUAAGUGGGAAAGGAGGUGGAUAUUCACAGACAACCAGGAGGUUGGCUUAGAAGCAGCCAUACCUUAAAAGAGUGCGUAAUAGCUCACUGGUCGAGAGUAUCUGCGCCGAAGAUGUAACGGGGCUAAGACAUAAACCGAAGCUGUGGAAGAUGCUUUCGCAUCUUGGUAGGAGAGCGUUCUGUAAGCCGAUGAAGGCAGGCUGUAAGGCCUGCUGGAGGUAUCAGAAGUGAGAAUGCAGGAAUGAGUAGCGAGAAGGCGGGUGAGAAUCCCGCCGGCCGGAAGUCCAAGGUUUCCAGGGGAAGGUUUGUCCGCCCUGGGGAAGUCGGGACCUAAGCCGAGGCUAAGUAGCGCAGGCGAAUGGAAAAUAGGUUAAUAUUCCUAUACCACUUAAUUAACGUUUUUACUGAUGGAGUGACGCAGGAAGGUAUGUGAGAAGGCUGACGGUUUAGCCUUUCUAAGGAAGUAGCGUGAGCAUAUAGGUAAAUCCGUAUGCUUAAACGUGAGAACUGAUGGGUAAGCACCUCUUGGUGUAAGUCACAAAUCCUACACUGCCAAGAAAAACUUCUAAGGAGGAAAUUAAGUGCCCGUACUGUAAACCGACACAGGUGGACAGAGUGAGAAACUUAAGGCCGACAGGCUAACUCUAGCUAAGGAACUCUGCAAAAUAGCCCCGUAACUUCGGGAGAAGGGGUGCCUAUAUUACUUGAGAAGAGAAACACUUCAAGGGGAAAUAGGUCGCAGUGAAGAGUCUCAAGCAACUGUUUACCAAAAACACAGGUCUAUGCUAAGCUGAAAGGCGACGUAUAUGGGCUGACACCUGCCCAGUGCCGGAAGGUUAAGAGGAGGAUUGAGAGAUCCGAAUUGAAGCCCCGGUGAACGGCGGCCGUAACUAUAACGGUCCUAAGGUAGCGAAAUUCCUUGUCGGGU
rnacentral:rRNA from 1 species